CUUGAUGUGUAAUGCAAUGUGUAUGAUGAAUCUUGAUUCUGUCAUAAGUUUCACUUAGUUUUUUUCGCAGUAGUGCCACAAAACCGUAGUUUUUUCCGGUCAUUGAAGGAGCUCCAUCUGUAGCUACAGAAGUUAAUUUUGACAGUGGUAGCUUGUAUUUUUGCAGAACUUCAUUAACACAAAUAAAUAUAUCUUGUCCUGUAGUAGUGCCGCGCAUUGGUACUAGUUCCAUUAAUUCCUCAAAUAUGUUGAAAUCUGUGUCGCAAGCACGAAGAAACACAGGUAACUGAGCUAUGCCCCCAAUGUCCGUACUCUUGUCACAGGCAAUGGAAAAAGCCUCGAAACUAGAUGAUUUUGAUUUGAUCUGAUCACCUAAAUUGCCAGCCAAAUCAGUAACUUUUUCCGCAACUGUAUUGCAAGACAAAGAGAUUACUUGAAAAGCCUUCACAC